rnacentral:lncRNA from 1 species
ACCUGUGGACAUCCCGCAGCUCAGAACACAAACUUUAUCAAGUGGAGCAUGUGGAUUGAUCUUGGCGACCUGACCGACAUGGACGACAGUGUAUUCGCUGAAAGUAGAGGUGCCAAGGAAGUGGUAGAUAGGCUUCCCAUUGAUGGAAAACCUGGAUUUUCCAUCAUUAAUCAUUCCAACCCUGUCAGUGUUGAUUCGGAGGAGAUCACACAUAUUACUCUCUUCAGACAAGCAAUGGGGACACUCCUUGCAUUCCCCAGUGAAGAUGGGGAGAACAUGGUCACCUGGCUUUAGAUCAGUCACGCCCUCUCCUACACUCUCUACAAUCCUAAACAAAAAUCAAAGAAAAGGGUUAAUGCGUAUACACAUAAUAAGAAUAUUAUAGGAACUGUAAAUAUUUAGACUGGCAUAUACAUACCCUCCAGCUUCGUGACCAAGUAUGCGAGGAAACAGAGGAUUUUGUCCCUGCAAUAACAGAAACAAUGCCAGAGUCAGAUUGAAAAUCUUUCUCCUAACAAGUUGAAGUAAGAAAAAAAAGAGAAGUGUGAACCUUAGCAUCCCAGAAGUAGACAUCGGUGUGACAUAACGAAGUGAAGAGUAUCUUAAUACGGACUUCAUCCUUCUGCGGUGGUGCCACUUCCACUUCCUCUAUUGACAGUGGCUUCCCCGACUCCCAUGCCACCGCAGCUGCAAUAAUACCAAAACCACUGAAUUAGCAAAGCAAUCGCCAAACAACCGAUUAAUCAGUCACAAGAUGGACAAAACAAAGAGAAAGUUUUAACAAGCAUCAAAACCACCAGAAAACAAACAAAACCAGAGAUCUCAGAAAAAAAACCCAACAAAGAACAGUGAUCCUAUAACCAGAAACAGUUGCAUAUCAGAGAGGGAGAGUCGAUUGAUCACCUCUGCAACGGAUGACCUGACCAGCAGUACUCAUAAUGGCUGUUAACAGAAAUAAAGACUUCUUUUUUUGUUUAUCUGAUCACUUCUUUAUUUUUCUUAUGUAUGUUGUUUAUGAUGAAAGAAGAAAGCUAGCAAGAUUCUAUUUAUAGGGAAACCCAUUUCCCGCUCGCUAAAUUACGCAAAGCACAGCAAUGGUUUGCUUUUCCCUUUCCAAGACGAAACUGUGUCUGGUUUUGUGUAGCAGUAUUCACUGUUGUCAUGGUUUUGUAUUUGUGUCCGUAACUUUUUAUGCAUGAUUUUUAAUAUGUCAAUAUGUAGUAUUAUAUUAACCUUGGUUCUAGUCGUGGACUUUUGGUUUAUGCGGCUGGGUUAGUUGAAAACUAUUCACCACAAUCAUGGGCGCCUCAUGGAACCUUGAUUUGUUCUGAUUUUUGUUUUUUAAUUCCUAUAUGCCGUUUUUAAUUCCUAAGGCAUCAAUCGACGUGGGGUUAUGAAGAGAACUGGGCCUAUUGAUUUUCCUUUUUCUGGCUGAAAAACAAGAUUAGGCGUAUUGAUUUCCACUUGUUAUUCAAAUCCAGCAUUUACUGUGGAUUCAUCGGUUCAUCCAAAUCUAAUAUUUAGGGUUUUUCCUUCUUUCACCAAAUAAACAUCGCGGUUUCCUUUUUAGUUUAAAAGUAUUUUCUAACCAAUAAAAUUAUUUUUAGGUUUAUACUUAAAAAAAACAUUAAGAAUAUGUAAACAAAUCAAUUAACCCUCUGAAUUAAUUUUACACUUAAUUAAGCCUUUAUUGUCAACUAAAAUAAUUAGUUAAGCUUCUUUGUUAAUUGUUUCCAUCCUUGACCACAUUAAUCGUUAAAAUAAAUUAUGGAUCAAUCAGAUGGUGCCAAAUAAUAACUUUUAGUUUAAUUUAAUGCUUUUUCCAUGAAAAUAUUAAAAAUAUAUAAAUUAAUAAGGGAAAAUCAGAAAAAUUAUAAAAAUAUAUAAAAAAACUAUAAAUUGUUAUGAAUAUCUUAUUAAGUGGAUGUCCAUUAUGAUCAAGAUAAAAUUUCGGUAUAUUUUAAAUUCUAAUAGUUAUUAGAAUUAGAUCUCUAUUUCUUCUAUACUUCUUAUGCCUAUAAACAGAGACUCUGAUAAAGCAUUGUAAUCACCCCUUUUGAUCAAUAAAUCUCAUUCUCUAUUGCUUUCAUAUUUCUUUGUUCUUUAUUCUCUCCAUCUCUCUUUAUUUUAUAACACGUUAUCAACACGAUGAUUCUCUAUUUUUUCAAAAUCUUUCGAAGUCACCCCACAAAUCAAAUUCCUUUUCACCUUAAACUUUCUCCCUUACAACUUCAUCUUCAGGAUGUUAAAAUAUUCAAUCUCAGAAUGAAUUGUGGUUCUUAUUCCCGAUCUUUGAUUUAUAAUUGUACAAGCAUGGGUAAAGAAUAGAUUUGUCAUGGUGAUGACGAUGAUGUUAAAGAUCUUCAGAUAUAUUUUACUAUAUUUUAUUUAUUUUAUCAUGUUUGUUAUAAUUGGAGACUAAUCAUGACAACAUGAGUAGAGAAAUUCUAAUUUAAAAUUCAUGCAUGUUUGCGAUGGUGAUUAUGAAAUAAAGAAUCUAUUGAGACGUUUAUAAGUUCGUCCUAGUAAAUCUAUUGCAUUCCCCGAAGUGAAUGUAAAUAUAAAGAAAAUAAAAUAUAUACUCAUAGACCACUAAAAGUGGGAACAUAGUAAUAAAUAAGAGAACAAUGAGAGUUCUCAAGAAAACUUUUCAAAGGGUAAAGAUAACUUAUGCUAUCAAUGUGAUAUGAAAUUAUAGGCCACAUAUGUGGCGUAUGCCCAAAUAUUUUGUUUCUGUUAUUAUUCUUUGAGGAAUGAUAUGAAAAUGUAGUAAUGAAAUCUAUCAUUACAGAUAAAAAAUAUUUAUCUUAUUUGGUAUUGAAACAAACAAAUAUUAUUCAAAUAUUUGAUAGUACAAAAUUAGUUGAAAGCUUCAGAAGAGAAAAUAUGUCACUAUCUAAAAAACACAAAAUUUAUGAUGGUUAAUACAUUACUUUUAAAAGUUAUUUGUAAUGGAUCUCAUAUUGAGAUUGUGAAUGAGGAAAAUAUUAUAUUUCAUAUGAAUCACUAUUGCUAUAAAUAUCUAUUUUAAAAGGAUGAAAAAGGGAGGAUUGAGUUUUGGUUACUCUUGUUAUUAAAUUGAAUUGAUUGUGAUUAUCUUUGUGACCUUCUUUUGUCAUCAUCCCCAUUAAGGGGUUGGAAGCAAAAUAUUUGACUGUGAAAGAUCUAUUUAUGAGUAAUAAAAUAUGACAAUUCUAUCUAAAUCUCGUUAUGGUUGGAUGUACUUGAAGUUGCAAAAUUGUUGAUUUAAUUUUCACCGAAUGUGUGAGGGAAGGAGCAAAUUGAAUUGUUAUAAUCGGUGUUGGGAAAUAUUAGCAAGCUUUCUUUGAAUUUUUUUUUAUUUCUUUAGUGUUUGAUAAUUUUUGAAAAAUUUUAAAUUACUGUCCGAAUUUUACCCUGAUUAAUAUUGUUAAUUGCUGCUCUGUUUAUACUGUCCGAUUGUGGUAUUGAUGUUGUUCGAAUAUUGCAUUGUUAAUGAUGUUUAGAGAGUGACACUGUUUAUGUUGUUUUAAGGGCUGAUGUUUGGUGUAUUAAUGCAGCAAAAAAAUUCUUGUUUAGUCGUCAAUUAAUGUUGUCUAAGUGACUGUAUUUAUAUUGUUUUAAGGGCUGCUGUUUGGUGUAUUAAUGCAGCAGAAAAUUGUUGUUUAGAUGUCAAUAAAUGUGGUCUGAAUGAUUUUAAAUUAUGUUAAUAAUGGUCGAAGUUGCAAAUGAAUAAAUAGUGAUGUAUUUAUUAUGUCUGAAAUUUGAAAAAAUGAGUGUUUAAUGCUGCCUUUAAUGUAGCUGAGAAGGUAAUAAAAGACCAGUAUAAUGAUACAAAAUUUAUGUCUUAAGUGUUAGUUAAUGAGUUAGUUAUAUGGUGAUAAAUAGUCGUAUGUUUAUAUCGUUUGGGCAGUUGGUAGACUAUUAAUUAAUGUUAAUUAGUGUUGUCUAAAUUGAUGUCAGGUUAAGUUAUUGAAGAGUGUAAUUAGUAAUUAAUAUGUACUGCAUCAAUAAGUUAACUGUUAAUUAUUAUUAAAAUUGGUUUUAGUGGAUUAAUUAGGCUGCUAUAAUGCAGGAUUUGAAUGCUGUUUGAAUUGAUAUUAAGUACUUAAUUAUACUGCCAUAUUUUUUUGUAUAUUAAUGUUGUUUAUUAAAGAGUAUCUUAAUGCCAUCCAAAUAUGUAAAUCUUUCAAAUUUUAAGUUUAAUGAACUAUUAUAAAUUCCUACUGUAUUCGUGUUAUCCAAAUUGGAAUGAAUUGGAUAAUAGUUGUGUUUGUGUUGACCAUUUGUGAGGAAUAAAUAUGUUUUUACUAAUUAUAAUUAAAUGAUAGAAUGGUUUGAGUUUGAACUUGAUUUGAUAUUUGAGUUAGUUAAUAUAUUGAUUUAUUAUUAUGCUUUGAUAGUGAAACAAAUAGAUCGAUUAUAAAUGGUGGAAAAGAUACAGUCGUGGAAUAAUCAUCUAUGACUUGAGGUAAGUCUAUAAGCAUAUAAAUGUCAUUAAAUUUGAUAAUAUAUAAAUGUUACAUGAUGAAUGGAAUUUUUGUGAAUAUAUUUGUGUAUGGUCGAAUGUGUAUUGAGCAAAGGAGCUAUAUUUCGAGUUCGAUCCGAUCGAGAUUCAAGGUCUGAAAGUCCCGUACGAACCCUAGGAAUAGAUAGGAUACUUAUGUCAUGACAUAGGAUUUUCGGUACGUGUUUUCGUGUAAGACCACAUCUGGGAUGUUGGCAUCGAUUUGUGUUUACGUGUAAGACCAUGUCUGGGACAUCGGCAUUGUAUUUGAUUCAUGUAAGACCCUGUCUGAGACAGUGGCAUUGAUAUAUGAUUACAUGUAAGACCACGUCUGGGACAUUGGCAUUGUACGAGUUUUCUGAUUAUUCGCGUAUCAUUUUAAAUUUUCAAACGGUUCAACGGGCAAUGUGAAGUAAAGACCGAAUGUUGAAUCGAAUUAAAAGGUUCAGGUAUGUAUUCAUACUAUGAUAUGAAAUUAAGGUAAGUUGUAUACUUGAAUUGAUAUACUUGUGAUAUUAUAAGUGAUUCAGCCUAAUGAUAUAGUUGUGACAUUAAAGAGUGAUAAUUAUAUAUGUUUAUGAGUAUUGGUGCAUUUAGCUAUAUGAUGUUAAAUGCUAAUUCAUAUUUGAAAACAUAUAAACUUGUGAAUGUGAGAUAUAUAUAUUUCAUUAAGGUUAGGACUAACUAGGUUAAUUGACUUAAUGUUAAUAUUCAUAUGAUUAUUGUUUGCUUAUGACUUACUAAGCUGUCAAAGCUUAUUGUGUAUAUGUUGCUCUUCGUUUUAUAGAUUUAGGAAGUUGGUUACGAGCUCGGGGAUCGUCAGAGAAGACUAUCACACUAUCGACUCCUUUCGGCAUUUUGUUAAGUUUGAAUUCGAUCUUAUGGCAUGUAUAGCAUAGCUGAAAUACUUGAUUUUGGGUUAUGUAAUAUUGAGCCAUGCAAAAAUGGCUUAUUUCUUUUGGUUAAACUUAGUUUCUAUCCCUUUGAAUAUAAUGGAUUUAUUUGAUGCUUGAGUAUUUAGAUUCGGCCAUGGUAUAAUUAUGUGUGACUUGUUUAAUAUAUUUUGUUAAUGAUCAAUUGAAUUAAGUCAUGGUUUAAACUUGUAUCGAAAGUAAUAUGUAUUUCAUAUGUAUGUGAUAUAUAUAUAUGGUGUAUGCUUAGUGAUAAGGUUUUGAUAUGUGGAUUGAAUAAAUGGGUAAAAUGCUAAGUAUAUUAUAAAUGAAAUGAUAGUUAAGUUCAGUUAUAACAUAUGGAAAAAUAUGUGUAAUUUUGGUCAUGAUUUAGGCCUGUUUUAAAAGUGUGUUUUAUGUUGUAAAUGAAUGUAUGAGUUUGAGAUUUGUAAAUGAGAAAUGAUAUGUAUAAUUUUAAUAUAUGAAUCAAGUAUUAUGCAUGUCAUAUAAGUGUGAUGUGUUUUGGCAAGAAGAUAUGAAAUGAAUAUGAUUCAGUUGUGGUUUAUUAUGGAUUCAUUUAUAAUGUAUAAUUUGAUUCAUGGAUAGGCUUGAAAGUGGUAAAUGAUGUGUAGUUAUAUUCGGCUAGUGAUGGGUAAAACAAAUACAUAUACCUAUGAUAUGUUUAAUUGUGGUUUGCUAUUUAAAUGUUGAAUGAUUGAUUUCGAAAUGUGUUAAAUAUGUGGUAGCAAAUUCGGCCUUAGUAAAUGGUUCAUUUUGAUAAGCAUGUGAGUUGGAUGUAAUAUUAUUUACCUAUUUAUGAUCGAAUAGGAUAAAUUUUAUUAUUGAAAAAUGCCUAUGAAUUGGUAAGGAACAAGAUACUAUUCUAUUAUUUGUAAUGUUUGUUAAUAUUUCAUACGUGGUUCUUAAAUAGGAUAAAUGAUACGUUUUGUUUUAACUUAAUGAGUGAAUUUGCAAAAGUACAUAGAUUGUUAUGUUUGAUAAUUAACUAAUGAAAUGGACGUUUAUAAACAGAUGGAUAUAUGCAUGCGGUAUAUGUGAAAUAAAAUAGGUUUGAAGACUAAUUAGAAGUCUAAAAGCCAUGAACUUUGGUCAUAAGGUUUGGUUAUUGAGGUUGUAUGAUAUAUGUAUUAUGAGCUGAUAUAAAUUAGUUGGGUCGAAUAAGUGAUUAAAUUAUUAAUAUUGAUAUUAAAUAUAAAAUGCAUGUGUAUUGAUGUGAUUGAAUUACGAAACAAGAAAUGUAGUAAAUGUCUGUUCUGAUAUGUGCUAUAUCCGGUAAUGCCUUGUAACCCUAAUCCAGCGACAGAUAUGGGUUUGGGGUAUUACAGUUUGGAAAUUAUAUUUAUUUUGUUGACUUAGUGACAUUAUAAUAUUCACAUUGAUUUAGACAUUCCUAGUAGUAAAUGUCAAAAUAGCACUUAUAUGUGGACACAAAGUAAAAGUAAUGAUAGUAAAAUUAUUAAUUUGUUACAAUUUAGUACAAUUGAAACACAUGUUAAAGUAAACUAGAAGUUUACUGAUACAAAUGCAUUUACUACUUGGCGUGACCAGUUAGACCAUCCUGGAUCAUAUAUGAUGCGGAAAUUAAUUAAGAAUUCAUAUGGACAUUCAUUAAAGGACUAAAAGAUCCUUUAAUUUUAAAAGAAUUCUCAUAUGUUGCUUGUUCUCAAUGAAAAUUGAUUAUUAGAAACUCACUAGCUAAAGUUGAGAUUUAAUGUCUUGCAUUUCUGAAAUGAAUAUGGGCCCAUUCAUCCACUAUACGGAUGGUUUUGAUAUUAUAUGAUUUUGGUAGAUGCAUCUAAAAAAUAACCACAUAUGUGUUAUCAAUUUGCAACCUGUCGUUAGCAAGAUUGAUUGUUUAAAUAAUUAAUUUCAAAUCAUGCAAUUAAGACAAUUCAUCUUGCUAAUACUGAUGAGUUUAUAUCUUAAUCUUUUAUUGAUUGAGUUUGAAAAACUUUUGUAAAAGUUUGCGCAUAAUGAUUUAGAGAAAUUAUUGAUUGAACACCUCUGAUUAAUGUCUAAACCAUUACUUAUGAGAACUAAACUUCUUAUUUCAACAUGAGAUUAUGUUGAUUUACGUGUUGUAUGAAUCAAGCCAAUAAGUUAUAAAACUCCCUAUUAUAAUUGGUUUUUGAUCAAGAGCUAAAUAUUUCACCACAACGCACAAAGAUGAGUGAAUCCUCAAAUAAAGUUGAGAAUAUAUAUUAAUUACAAGUUUCUUUAUAUUAUUAGAUGUUUUGAAUGUAUUCGAGAUUUAAUUAUGACAUGAUUUGUGAUUACAAUUUUGAUUCGAUAGUUUUUUGACAUGAAGGGGAGGGAAAUAAUAACUCGUAAUGAGUUAGGGGGAGAGUAAUUUGAACCAGAAGUUCAAUAAGGAUAACUCAUUACAAGUUAACUGUUAGCUGUAUUUACAAACUUAAUAAGAAUAACCAAGUGUUAUAUACCAUCUAAUAUUUUUAUUUGAAUCAAAGUCCCAAUAGGACAAUCAGUUGGAAUAAAAUAAUAGAUUGAUCAGUUCCAAAUAUGAAAAUUCUUCUAGAUGGUCAUAUAGUGGAGGCGGGUGCUUUAGAAGAGACCCAAGACAUAACUAAUAAGUAAAACUUCAGAAGAGAUUCUUGUACCUGAAAUUAAAUUUUAAAAUAAUGAAAACAAGAGAUCUCGAUAAGUUAUGUCAAUUUGAGAAAAUAUGGAACCGAUUAAUAAAAGUGGUCGACAAUGAUUUUGAAUGCAAUAUUAUUAUUGAAAUAAUAAAAUAAAAGGAAGAUCUUGAAUAAAUCUAUUGAGAAAUAUAGAUAUAAAAUAAAUUGAUCAAAAUAGAAAGACGCAACUUAAGUACAACUAAAUUUGUGGAAUUUUUGGACCAGUAGUCCAAAUAUCUAAAUGUAUAAAGCCAGUGAGGGUGCAAAUGAAGUAGUUUUGCAAAAACGGAAUAAAAAUACUAAGUACUGGUAUUGAUUAUGAAAAUAUAUAAUAUUCUUUUGUGGUGGAUGCAAUAACCAUUAGACAUAUUAUUUUGACAAUUCAUAAAAGAUUUAACUUACGUCUAAUGGUGGUUGUUACAUCCUUUAUAAAUCACGAUAUAGUAAAGUUUAUAUUAAAAUCCUUGAAGGAUUUAGAAUGCUAGAAGCAUAUUGAAAUUCUCGGAAAAUUAUACAUUUAUAUAAAUUGAAAUAAUUGAACAUAUGUGGUAAAUUUGACUUAGUCAAUAGUAGUUGAAAGAGGAUUAUAAAAUGAUCCAAAAUACCUAUUUUUAUUUUUAUAGAAGGAUCAUGAUGAAAGUUUGAUAUGAUUAUUGUUGAAACUCCUAAAGAGAUCAAAAUAUGUUUCCCCAAAAUUUUCUCUCACUCAUGAUUUUCAAAAGAAUGGUGAUAUAAAUGCUUAGCAAUACAUUCAAAUAGUCAUUUGAAAAACUAGUAUUCAAGAUUGAAUAUGUAGAAUAUAAGAAACUAUGUUAUGUUUUCAUGAGGGAGAGUAAAUACGUGUUGUACUCUUUUUUCCUUAACCGAGGUUUUGUCCCAUUAGGUUUUCCUGGUAAGGUUCUUAAUGGGACAGCAUAUUAUGCAUAUUAUAGAUUGUGUACACUUUUUCCUUCAUUAAGUUUUUAUCCCACAGGGUUUUUCCUAAUAAGGUUUUAACGAGGCACAUUAUCUACCAAUGGACAUCCAAGGGCGAGUGUUAUGAAUAUCUUAUUAAGUGGAUGUCCAUUAUGAUCAAGAUAAAGUUUUGGUGUAAUUUAAAUUCCAAUAGUUAUUAGAAUUAGAUCUCUACUUCUUCUAUACUUCUUAUGCCUAUAAAUAGAGACUCUAAUGAAGCAUUGUAAUCACCCCUUUUGAUCAAUAAAUUACAUUCUCUAUUGUUUUCAUAUUUUCUUUAUUCUUUAUUCUCUCCAUCUCUCUUUAUUUUAUCAUAUAAAUGAUAUUUUUUAAUAUUAAAAAAUUUAAAAAUAUGAAAAUUGAUAUGAACUUAUAAAAAUUAUUAAAAAGUUAUAAAAAUUAUAAAAAUCUAAUAAAUUAUAAAAUUAAUAAAACAUAUUUAAAUUUUAAAAAUGUACUAAAAUUCAAUAAAAAUCAUGAAAAAAAUAUAAAAAGUAUUCAAAGUGAUUUAAACUUAUAAAAAUUAUUAAAAAUAGAUAAAAACUUGAACAGGACUGGAUCAGUCGUUUAGAUUGAUUAGACCAAAAUCAACAAGGGCAUCUUGAGAAAGCCAUUAGAUCGGUUGACUUGGGACGGUAGAACUAAUUUUUUUUAUUUUGAAUGUUUUAUUUAAUUGAACUGGAUGGAUCAAUCGAACUAGCAAACAGAUGGCCUGAUCGGUUUGACCACUAAUUCAAUUCUGAAAACCUUGGUUAAAAUAUUUCAUUCUGACAUAAGUUAAUAGUUGGAUAAUUAAAUUUUGGUUUGAUAAAAAUACUAAAAAAUAAAAAAUCUGUUCAACCGCCCGAUUCCUAAGUUAACCGGUCUAAUGGCUUUUCUCACACCAAUUUCCUUGCCAAUUUCAGGCUAACCAGUCCAGUUCAAUUUUUUAUAAGUUUAUAUCAAUUUUAAUGUAUUUUUAUAAUUUUUUAUUAUUUUUAAGAAUUAUAAUACAUUUUUUAUUUUAAAUAUUUUUUAUUAAUUUUAUAAUUUAUAAGAAUUUUUAUAUUAUUACAAUAUUUAUAUUUUUUUAUAAUUUUAAUAAGUUUAUAUCAUUUUUAUUAUUUUUUAUGAUUUUUAAUCAUGUUUAAUGGGAAAUAUUAUAUUAAACCAGAAGUUGUCAUGUGUCACCAUUUAAUUGGUCUAUUAAUUUAUUUUAACGGUCAACGUGGUCAAUGACGGAAAUUGUUAACGAAGGUGCUUAAUUAAUUAUUUUAGUUAACAGUAGGAGCUUAAUAGGGUGCAAAUUUAAUACAAGAUGUAACACCCCAUUUUUGACCCAAUCACUAAAUCAGAGUAUGUGAUGUCACAUUAGGUUGCCAAAACAGCUCAAGCUAAUCCAUUUCAUAAUUAUAAAAUUUAAAACAUAACGUAGCAAUUAGCCAAUUUAAUCAUCAAUCAUAUUCGCACUUAUUCAUUUAUAAUGGUUAAGGUUCAAAAUCAUUGUUAAAUGGAGUUAAAAAAGGUCAAAUGUUGAGUUAGGACUCGAAUUUGAACUCAAAUAUCAAAUUUUAAAUUCACGUCUCCUUGUCUCAAGACAGAUCAUAAAUUAUUUUUUGAUUUUUAUCUUCGAAGUUAGCAUGUCCUGAUAUAUUACUAAUUGUGUCUCAAGAUUGUUGCGAGACAACAUCUCGAGACCAACCUCCCCUGUUUUCCUAUGUUUUCUUUAAUGUUUGAAUGUCUCGAGACAAGAGGUUCCUAUCUCGAAGCCUGGAACAGGGUAAAACCUAUUGAGCUUCAAUGUUCUUUUAUCUCGAGACCUAAAGCAAGGCAAAACCUAUUUAACUUUGAUGUUCUUUUGUCUCUAGACCUUGGAUCAAUUUUUUGAGAAUAUACAUUUAUGUUUCGAGACCUCAUGCUCUUAAAUGCAAAAUUUAAAUGAAACUUGUAACGGUCUUGAGACAUGUUCUUUCAAUCUCGACACUAAAUGGUCAAAUGACCUAAAAUGGACAUUUUCAAGCAAACAAAUCUUACUUAAUUGUACCUAAAAAAUACUCAAAUAUUGCACCAAUACCAAAUCACUAAUUGUGUAAUACCUUGACCGGUGUAUUCUUGUUGGCAGAUUGUAAGGGCUGAGAGUUAGCUAAGAUUUAAGUCAAGGUGAGACUGACUUAUGUUGUACUCGCCAGUAUGGUACUUGUUUAUGUUGUGCGCCAUGAGUGGCGUAUGUUGUUUAGGGUGAAGUCUAUGUUGUAUUUUAUGGUCUAACGUGGUCGUAGUGAGGAACCCACCAAUCAGUGUUUCUUUUGGAAAGUUUGUGUGUUAAGACCUUUUUUUUAUGUACGCCAGUAUAGGAUUGUGAGAUGUGGAUCUGAAUGUUAUCUGUUUGUGCACGUGUGAAUUCUGUUUAGUUUUUUUAAGUGGGAUUUAGUUAGAAAAAUACCAAAGUGUUAUGAUUAUUCUUGAUGUGUUAUAGUAUGUAAUGAUUAUGUGUGCCAUGAUAGAAUUGAGUUAGCUUUGCAUGUUAGUCACAUCUUAUGUUAGUCCUAAGAGAGAAAGUUGUGAGAUAUAAAUGUCAGUGAAAACCUUUGUAGUGGGGAUUUUUCCCUUCUCUUUUCUUUUGCUCUAUUACACUUUGAAAUCUUGUUAAGAGGAGUUCGUUGGAGAAGCAGCAGCAAGUAAUUGAUUAGAAACAAGAGUUGUGCAUAAAAUAGUAGUGAUAUAAUAGAAACUUCCUCGAGAUCAUCUGUGAGUAUCCAAAUUGCAUGACUACUGUACUAUGUCAUGUGUAAUCCUUAAAGUGUUAUUGUCAUAGAUAGAGUCCAAGUGAGGACCUGAACUUGAAACUUUGGAAUCUGUUGUGUGUAAUUUAGGAGAUAAAAUUUAUGUGUAUAAAAGGUUAAUGAGUCUAUUUUCAAAAGAAACAAAUAGAAACAUUAUAAAAAUUAUGUAUUGAAACAUAAAUAAUUUUUAGUGGAGAAGGGUCAGAGUUGCCUAACAGCAGAACAUGGGAGAUUUGAAGAAAAUAAUAUAUUAUUUGGCUUAUGUAGAAAUUUUGAAAUUUUUAUGGUAACAAUUUCAUUGAGUCUAGUUUCAAAAACAAAAAGCGGAUCUUAAUUUCAAAUUGUGUAGGUUAAGAUAUAAAUAAUUUGUGACUAUUAUUCAAGUAGACAACCUUGUUAAGAGUAUACGUGUAAUUAGUAAAAGAAUAAUUAAUGUUACAUAUAGACAUGUUAUACUAAAAGUCAAAGAUUCUUAUCUAUAUACAUGUACAUAUAGGAUGCGGAAUGGAGAGGAGGAGGAGGAAAAUAAUAGAAGAAUUGUAAUACUAAGAAGUUGAUAUAAGAGAUGGAAUUGUUAAUAUAUAAGAGAAGUUUAAAUGAACUUGAUGAGACAUUAAGUAAGUAAUUUUUAUAUGAUGAAUUAAUGAAGUAUUAAUUAAUAAGUUGUAACUUUAAAUGGAUUUAAAUUGAAAAGUUGAAAAGUUUUAUAUGAUACUAAUUUAAAAAAAUUGUAAAUUUAAGUGAAAUUAAAGUGACAUUAUAUUAAAUAGUGAUUUUCAUGAAAUUUUUUGCAACUGAUUGCCAAAUUAAUUGAAAUAAUGGAUUGAGAUAGUCUGAGUUGCUCUUGCAAGAUUAAGUGACGGCACACAUCCAAUGACGACAACUGAGUUUGGUAUUGGGUUUCACAAAAAAUCUUAUCACAUGCGUAUUUUUGUAGAAAUCACAUAUUUAGAAUAUAAAGAUGUGAAAAAUAUAAUGUCGAUAAUAACAAUAUAUCGCAAAGAAAAAUAGAAAUAGAAAAAUAAAAAACACACAGAUUUUACGUGGAAACCCUUUCGGGAAAAAAACCACGGGCAGAAGAGAAGAAAAUUCACUAUGUCGAAUUCAAAUUAAUUACAAGAGGAGUAGACUAUGCCUAUUAAUAGGCUUGUAAACCUUAUUCUAAUAGAAGUGAAACUCCUUAUUCAAAUAAUAUCAAAUAGAUGGAGUUUAAUAAGGUUUAAAAAACCUUAUUCUAAAAUAAAAUAAAAGAAGUAUAAUUCUAUUGGGAUUUUACUUUUAUUUUAUUUUACCACAGUAUUUUAUUUAAAUAAGAAUUUGGGUCACUUAAUUCUAACAAUCUCCACCUUAACACAAAUUCUUAAUGAACAAGUUCUUCAUCGCGAACUCUCAACGAACAAGUUUCUUGACCUCUUCCAUAAAACCCCUUAAGAGUUUAUCUUCAACAAUGAACACCAACCAAGUCUAAGCAAUACUCAAACUUGGUUAUAGGAAGUGACUUUGUCAUCAUAUCUGCAGGAUUUUCAUGAGUACUAGUUUUGCUCACAACAAUAUCACCACGAGCAAUAAUAUCACGAACAAAAUGAUACCGAACAUUAAUGUGUUUUGUUCUCUCAUGAAACAUUUGAUCUUUUGUAAGGAAAAUGGCACUCUGACUGUCACAGAAUACUAUAUUGAUUUGAAGGUCUUCAUUGAGUUCACUAAAGAGCCCCUUCAACCAAAUAGCUUCUUUACAAGCCUCAGUAAUCGCCAUGUACUCAGUUUCAGUGGUAGACAAAGCGACUGUAGUUUACAAAGUGUCUUUUCAAAUGAUUGCACAAUCUUCGAUUGUAAAGACUAACCGGUGAGAGAUCUUCUUCUAUCGAGGUCUCUAGUAAAAUCAGCAUCAACAUACCCAAUGACUCCAUUUCUAGUUCUUCCAAACUGUAAGCAAACAUUGGUAGUACCUCGUAAGUAUCUUAAAACCCAUUGAACUACUUUCUAAUGUUCUUUACCGGAAUUCGCCAUGUAUCUGCUAACUACACUAACUGCAUAUGAUAAAUCUGGACAUGAACAAACCAUAACUGCAUAUGAUAAAUCUGGACGUGAACAAACCAUGGCUUACAUGAGAGAUCCCACUGCACUAGAGUAUGAAACAUGUGAUAUGUACUCAAUCUCAUCAUCUAAUUGUGGAGACAAAGCCGAUGAAAGUCUAAAAUGCGCUGCUAAAGGAGUACUAACAGGCUUAGCAUUCUGCAUAUUGAAUCUGGAAAGAACUUUCUCAGUGUACCCUUUUUGACUUAAGUACAAUUUACUUGCUUUUCUAUCCCUGAGAAUCUCCAUACCAAGUAUCUUCUUUGCUAGUCUCAAGUCUUUCAUCUCAAAUUCUUCACUUAGUUGGGCUUUGACCUUUCUUAUCUCUCCUUUAUCUUUUGCUGCUAUCAACAUGUCAUCAACAUAAAGGAGUAGAUACACAAAAGAACCAUCACUAUUUUUCUUAAAGUAAACACAACUGUCAAAGCUACUUCUUUUAAAUUUAUGAGAAGUCAUAAAGGAAUCAAACCUCUUAUACCACUGUCUUGGUGACUGUUUCAAACCGUAAAGGGACUUUUUCAGGAAGCAAACGUAGUCCUCUUUUUCUGAGACUGUAAAACCCUCUGGUUGUUGCAUGUAAAUAUCCUCCUCAAGUUCUACAUGAAAGAAAUGCAAUUUUUACAUCUAACUGCUCAAGCUCCAAAUCAUGCAUGGUCACAAUACCAAGCAAAGCUCGAAUCGAACUAUGCUUUACAACUGGAGAGAACACAUCUAUGAAGUCCACUCCUGGAAUUUGACUGUAACCCUUUGCAACAAGCCUUGCUUUAUAUCUAGGUUCUUCAACUCUUGGAGUCCCCUCUUUCUUUUUAAACACCCAAUUACAACGAACAAUCAUUUUACCUUUAGGAAGUUUCACAAGACCCCAUGUUUGAUUUUUGUGUAGUGAUUCCAUCUCCUCUUGCAUAGCAAACAUCCACUUUUCUGAGUCUUCACAACUAAUCGCCUUAGAAUAAUUAGAUGGCUCUUGGUUUGCAUCUAUAUCUUUAGCCACAUUUAAAGCAUAAGCAACUAGAUCAGCCUCGGCAUACUUCUUUGGAGGUUUAAUUUCUCUUCUAGUUAUGUUUUUGGCGAUAGAGUAUUGUGGUGAAGAAGUAACUCUAUUUUGAAUUUUUGUAUUGGCUUUAGUAGUUGACUCUAUUGUAGAUUCUAGAUUAAUCUAAUGCUCCACCUACUUUUGAUUUUCUUUAUUGGAAGAUUCUUUAAGAGGUAAGUUAGGUAGCAUAGCAGUUUCAUCAAAAACAUCUCUGCUAAUCACAACUUUUCUAUUUUUAGGACACCAUAACUUAUACCCUUUUACACCAGCUUUAUAACCAAGAAAAACACAUUUAAUAGAUCUCGGUUCCAAUUUUCCAUUAUCAACAUGAGCAUACGCAGGACAACCAAAGAUCUUUAAAUCAGAAUAGUCAGCAGGAUUACUAGACCAUACCUCUUGUGGAGUCUUUUUCUCAAUGGCAACGGAUGGAGAUCGGUUGAUCAAAAAACAUGUAGUAGAGGCUGCUUCUGCCCAAAAUGACUUUGAUAAGUUGGCAUUUGACAACAUACAUUAAACCUUCUCCAUGAUCGUUCUGUUCAUUCGUUCUACAAUGCCGUUUUGCUGUGGAGUAUGACGAACUGUCAAGUGUCUCACGAUCCCUUCUAACUUGCACAGUUUAUUAAAUUCAUUAGAACAGAACUCUAAGCCAUUGUUUGUGCGGAGGUAUUUUAUUUUCUUUUUCGUCUAUUUUUCAAUCAUGGUUUUCCAAGACUUAAAUGUGAAAAACACGUCGUUUUUCUGCUUCAAGAAGAACACCCACACUUUUCUAGAAAAAAUCAUCAAUAAUAGUAUAUAAUUAGCUCCACCUCUCGAAGGCACUCUGGAUGGCCCCCACAGAUCAGAAUGAAUAUACUCCAAUGUUCCCUUUGUGCUAUGGAUUCCUCUGGUGAAUCGAACUCUCUUUUGCUUCCCAAAAAUGCAGUGCUCACAGAACUUCAGUUUGCAAAUUCCUUACCCAUCAAGAAGUCCUCUUUUGCUCAAUUCUGCCAUGCCAUUCUCACUCAUAUGCCCUAGGCGCAUAUGCCAAAUUUUAGUAAUAUCAUCAUCUGACAAGGAAGAGGAUGACAUAGGUACAUCACCAGUAACAGUAGAACCCUGCAAAACAUAUAACUUAGCAGUCUUUCUCUGCCCUUUUAUCACAAUGAGGGAACCUUUGGAAAUCUUCAAAACCCCACUUUCAGCUGUGUAUUUGUACCCUUUUGAAUCAAUAGUACUCAAUGAAAUUAAAUUUCUCUUUAAUUCUGGAACAUGUCGUACGUCACUGAGUGUUCUGACAACUCCAUCAAACAUCUUAACUCUAAUUGUUCCAACACCUGCAAUUCUACGUGAAGCAUUAUUUUCCAUCAACACAAUACCUUCAGACAUUGUUUCGUAAGUUGUAAAUCAAUCCCGAUUGGGACUCAUGUGGAAGGUACAACCCGAAUCAAGAAUCCACUCUUCGCUCGCUUUAGAAUUAUUGACAGAAGCGACUAGAAGUUUACUAUCGCUGUAAUAUUCUACAACAUCAGCUUUACCUACGUGAAACAUUAUUUCCCAUCAACACAAUACCUUCAGACAUUGUUUCGUAAGUUGUAAAACAAUCCCGAUUAGGACUCAUGUGGAAGGUACAACCCGAAUCAAGAAUCCACUCCUCGCUCGCUUUAGAAUUAUUGACAGAAGCGACUAGAAGUUCACUAUCGCUGUAAUAUUCUACAACAUCAACUUUACCAGAAUUUUCUAGUUGUUUUCCAUUUUAAUUCACAGCCUCCCUUUUGAUCUUGUUCUGUAGCUUAUAGCACUCAGAUUUAAUGUGUCAUUUCUUCUUGCAAAAGUUACAAGUUUUACCUUUGUUUGAAGACUUCGAUCUACCCUUAGAUUUACUGCGAGGAUUCUGUUCCUGUGUCCUUCCACGACUACUAUUAGCAUUUCGAUCUUGUCUCCCACGAACAAAAAGACCCUCUCUCUAAGAGUCAGUUUUAACCACAAGAUACUUCAUCUUAUCAUACGAGGUUAAAGAAUCAUAAACCUCAUCAACUGUGAGAGACUCGCGGCUAUAUAAAAUCGUAUCUCUAAAGGUUGAAUAAGACGGGGGCAACGAACAAAGUAGAAUCAACCCUAGAUCUUCCUUAUCAUACUGAACCUCCAUGGCCUCCAAGUUUGAGAGAAUUUCUUUGAACACUGUUAAGUGUUCGUGCACAGAUGCACCUUCCUCCAAACGAUGAGCAUAAAGACGCUGCUUCAUAUGUAACUUGCUAGUUAGAGUUUUUGACAUACAUAUCUGUUCCAACCUCUUCCAUAAUCCAGCGACAGUCUUUUCCUUCAUCACAUCCUGCAAAAUUUUGUUAGACAAAUACAGAUGUAACUGUGUUAAUGCCUUUUGAUCCUUGCGCUUCUUCUCUUCUUCCGUCAAUGUUGAAGGCAUCUUAUCUACCCCUAGUAGGGCUUCCUCUAAGUCCAUCUGUGCAAGAAUUGAUUGCAUCUUUAUCUGCCACAACACAAAUCUGGUGUUGCGAUCCAACAGUGAAAUUUCGUACUUCAAAGACGUCAUUACCGUGAUUGAGAUGGACAACCCGGAAGCUCUGAUACCAAUUUGUGAAAAAUAUAUUGUCGGUAAUGACAAUAUAUCACAAAGAAAAAUAGAAAUAGAAAAAUAAAGAACACACAGAUUUUACAUGGAAACCUUUUCGGGAAAAAACCAUGGGCAGAGGAGAAGAAAAUUCACUAUGUCGAAUUUAAAUUAAUUACAAGAGGAGUAGACUAUGCCUAUUAAUAGGCUUGUAAACCUUAUUCUAAUAGGAGUGAAACUCCUUAUUCAAAUAAUAUCAAAUAAAUGGAGUUUAAUAAGGUUUAAAAAACCUUAUUCUAAAAUAAAAUAAAAGAAGUAUAAUUCUAUAGGGAUUUUACUUUUAUUUUAUUUUACCACAGUAUUUUAUUUAAAUAAGGAUUAGGGUCACUUAAUUCUAACAAAAGAUGUGUUUAAAAAUAAUAUACAAUAAAUAAUAAAAAGUAUGGUUUGAAACUAUUUAAUAAGGACAUAUGAAAUAUGUACAAUAUUAAAAUAGAAAAAAAGAUUAAAUUGUGAGUAAAAUGAAACCUAAAUACAAAAAACACAUAAUGUUAGAGUUGAGUGACCCGAAUCCUUAUUUAAAUAAAAUACAGUGGUAAAAUAAAAUAAAAGUAAAAUCCAUAUAGAACUACAAUUCUUUUAUUUUAUUUUAGAAUAAGAUUUUUUUAAUCCUUAUUAAACUCCAUCUAUUUGAUAUUGAUUAGAAUAAUGUGUUUCAAUAUUACUACACUCCUAUUAGAAUAUGGUUUUACAAGCCUAUAAAUAAAUAUAGUCUACUCCUCUUAUAAUAAUUUGAAUUUGACAUAGUGAAUUAUCUUCUCCUCUACCCGUGGUUUUUUUCCCGAAAGGAUUUCCACGUAAAAAUCUAUGUGUUCUUUAUUUUUUCUUUCUCUUUUCUUUGUGAUACAUUGUCAUUACCGACGUUCUGUUUUUUCACACAUAAGAUUAAAAUACUAAAGAAAUACAAUUUUUUAUCAUUAUUUUGUCAUCAAUCCUUAGUUGGUGUUAAGUUAAUUUGUGAUACUAACUCAAUCAACAACAUUAUUAAAGCAAGAAAUCUUAUCAUAUGUGUAUGUGUGUGGAAAAUAUGAAUUUAGAACAUGGAUGUGUGUUUAUAAAUAACAUUCAACAAACAAUGAAGCGUAAGGUUUAAAUCUAAUUAAUCAUAAUAACACAUGAAAUAUGUUAAAUUUGUUUAAAAUUUAAUUUAUAAAAGUUUACUUAAGAAUUAUUAUUGGUGUAGUGGUAAAGAAUUUGUUUAUAAAUUCAUUAACCAUGAGUUUAAUUCUCAUAUAUGUGAAUUUUAGGUAUUUUAUUUAAACAAAAAACUAUAUAAAUGUAUGAAAAGGCAAAAAUGUCAUCAAAAUAAUAGUAGUAGCCAUUUAAUAAAAGUGCAUAGUAGCCAUUUCUUAACCGAGUUGGUACCUUUUAACCCGUGACACCAAUUCAAUUAGAGGUUUUAUUAAUAGUAUAGAUACACAAAUAUAUAUAAAUGUAUAUAACAAAUAUAUUUAUCAAAGUUUGAAAUAAAAACAUCAAAAUAACUUCAGUUUUACAUGGUAAAUAAAAAAGUUUUAUAUGCAUGAUAUCAAAUCUCAUUAUGGACUAAUUUUUAUCGGUUUAUAAAAUAUAAAAACACAAAAACACCCAAAUAAUUACAUAACUUACUUAGCAAAUAAAAUGAUGUAUUUGGUUCAAAUCUUAUUAUAGAUAAAUUUUUAUUAAUUUAUAAAAAUAUAAAAAGGCAGAAACACUCGUAUAAACAUUUAACUUAGUAAAUAAAAUGAUUUUUUUUGUAAUUCUCUAAUUAAGUUAAGACCGGGUUAAUGAGUGACAUUAACUUAAUAAAAAAUUUAAAUAAUAGUAUAGAUAAAUCUCUAAAAGUUGACGUGAUGAAAAGAACAAAAAAUAAAUAUAAUUGUGAAAAAUAUCUAUACGUGUGCUGGCUGAAUUUAAAAAAAUUAAAAAUAAAAGCCAAAAAAAUUAUAUAAUAUUAUAAAAUUAUAAAAUUUCAAAAACAAAAUCUAAAAGGUGAAAAGUUAACAGAGUAUUAAAAAAAAGUCUUUAAUGAACAAUUUUAAUUUCAAAAGUUUUUUUAAAAUAUAACUUUUUACGGAUUUUUUUUUUUCAAAAUUUUUUUAGAGAAAAUAAAAAAUUAAAGAGAAGCAAAAAGAAGAUAGACACAAUUAACAAGGAUAGGAAUACUAAAACCGAAGCAAACAAGCUCAUCUAAUACUAUCAACUGCGAGUUUAGAAACAAGAAAAGUGGGAAGUGACUCCUCAUUUCAAAUGGUUUACGUAUAAAAAGGUCACUCAAACCACAAAAUAAAUCGCUGUAUUAGCAUCUUGACAAAUCUAACAAAAUGAUAAAUAGUGAAAUUGAUCUAAGACACAAUCAUCCAACCAGCGUGUUAAAGCAUUCACAAGCAUUUGACACAGUCCCAUUCCAUUGUCACAUUAUCUACUAUCAAAAAGCUAAUUUGUUAUUUUCUUUUGAAUUUUUAUAAUUUUUAUUAAUAUAAUAUAAUGCUUUUCUUUUUUUAAAAAAAAAUUUUAACCAACUGUGUAUUUACAGACAUUUUUCGCAAAUGUUUUUUUUUCUUUUGAUCGCCUUAGCUGGUGUUAUUGAAUCAGAUCAGACUAAUUAAUUAAAUCGGUUAAACUAAAUGUGAUAGUUCAUAUGAUGGUUGUCGAAACCACUUUUUAAUAAAUUGUAUCGACUUUAACUUUGAAAACGAAAACAAACACGGGAGUCGCCACCAAUCUUUUUUAAUGAGGUGUGAUCGGGUCACCUCGAAAAAUAGUUAUGUUUAUAAACAAUUUGAUUUAUUAAAACGACAAUUUUGGUCUACGAAAUUCAAAAAGAUGGGUUCGGGAGUCGGUUACUACGAGAAAGGAUUAGCACCCUCGUAACGCCCAAAAAUUGGUACCUAGUUGAUUAAUUAGUGUCUUAUUGUUGAAAGUUAAAAACUCAAAAAGAAUUUAGGAUACGAUCCUUUGUUAAAAUAUUAAAAAUUUUCAAGAAAUGGGCACAUUUCACGUUAAUCGAGAAAGAGAAUUACAUCCUGUAAGCUAGGAUACAAUGUCUUAAAUUUCCGAUACAAAAAUACAUGCCAAAAAAUUUAUUUAUUCGAAAGAUAUUCAAUUAUCUCGGUUUUAGAAAAGAUCAUAUUCCGUAAGUUAGAAUACGAUUUUUGUACUAAUUCCCGAGAUUAAAAAAACAUAUAUUUCUUAAAAGAGAUUUGUAUGUUCGAAUUUGUCGAGAAAAAACCAAAAACCCCGUAGGUUAGGGUAUGACCCUUUUGAAUUAAAUACGAAGUUUUAUUUAUUUUAAAGGAAAAAAUUCUUUUUUAUGUAUCGGAUAAAAAACUGUGAUAUGAAUUAAAAAAAUAGUAAUGAAAUAAUGUAAGGUGAUAAUACAAGCAAAAUAUUAAAAUGAUAAUUAAUAAUAAAAUAAAAAACUAUAAAAAGCAAGGAAUGACAAUAUUGAUAAUCAAAUUGUAACAAUAAAACGUAAAAUAGAAUAAAAUGAAAAUAGGGACCGCACAAAAGAAUGUAAUGAGGAUCUAAUAAUUAAAAGAAAUGAUAAACCAAUAAGAAACUAAUAAUAAAAAAGAACCCAAUAUAUGGAAAAAAAUCUAUUUUUUAAAAAGGUUAUUUUCAAUAUAAAAGGUUGAAAAUAUAAUAACAAAUAAACAGUAAAUGAAAAUAAAUAGGUAAAAAGUAAAUAAAUAAAAUAAUGAAUAAUAAAAAAUAAAGUAUAUGAAAACUUAAAAUGAAUAAUAAUAAAAUAGUUUAAAAUAAAUAAAUAAUAAAGAAGACAUAUAACGGUUUUUUAAAGGAAAAUAAUAUGAAGAAAUUUAAAUGAUAAUAUGCAUAUAAUAGUUUAAAAUGGAUAAUAUAUGAACAACUUAAAAUAAAUAAUAAUAGAACAAUUUAAAAUAAAUAAUAUAAAGUUUAAAAUAAAUAAGUAAAUAGUUUGCAAAAAUAAAUUGAAAUCUAACAGAUUUGGGACUAGAUCAGGACAAAAAAUGAAAUUAAAGGGUAAACACCGUAAAAAAAAACAAAGGGGACUAAAAUCAAAAGGCGCUCAAAGGUCGAGGAUCAGAUGGGUAAUAAAACCCAAAUUUGGACACGCGUAAAUGAGCCAGGGACAGGACUGAAAAACAUGCAAAAUUCUAGGGCUAAAUUUAAAGAAUAAAGAAAAGAAAGAAAAAAGACCAAACUGCGAAUCAUUGCAAAAGCGGAGGGACAACGCGUGUAAAUAUCCCGUCAAAGCAAAACACGCGGAUCCUCCCUCUAGGGCGGGUCAACACGCGGGUUAAGGCUCAAAACGACGUCGUUUUGGCGCCAGGAGCUUUGGCCCAAAACAAGUCUAUAUAAAUCAAAAUUUAAAAAAAAACCAUUUUUUCUCUUUCACUCCCAAAAAUCAAACAAAAACUCUCUCCCCUCCCCUUUACACAUUUCCAGAAUCCGGCCAGCUCCGGCGUCAGACCACCGCGGCAGUCGUCGGUUACCGGUGACGGCACUGCCAUCCGCGGUGGCUGAAAAAUCGAAAAGUUACCAUUUUUUGGUUUUUUCAGUUCCCAGACCAAUGAAACUCCGAUUUUCAUCGGAAUUGGCACCUCCCUCACAAAAAGGUACGACUCGAUCUUUUCUUUUUAUUUAUGUUCUGCUUUAAAAAAUAAAAGUAAAAGUAAAAAAAAAUAAAAACGAAAAAAAUAAAAAUAAAAAUAAAAAUAAAACAACUACCUUCGGAAAUCUACUGAUUUGUAUUGAUUUAUUUUUUGCUAUUCUCUUUGACUCAUUCGUAAGUCCAAAUACAUAAAAUUGGAGCUCUUUUUAUAGACCAAAAAUACCACUUAUUUCUCUAUUUUUCUUAUUUUUUACACUGUUUUUUUGGUUUUGGACUCUUCUAGUCCGUUUGCAGGUAAAAACAUGGCGGCACACGUGGAGAAGGCGGCGCGCGCGGGGCUGCCGUUUGGCUACUAUUGGGGGCGGCAGCUACUAGGUUUUCUACUUAAGAUUUCUUUUGUUGUUGUUUUGGGCUAGGGUUUAGUUGGGUUUAGUUGGGCUGUUUGGGUAUUAGGUUGUUUAGGUAUUGGGUCAUUGUAAUUGGACAUUAAUUAAUUUAUUUAUUAUAUUGGACGGAUGUUUGGGCUGUAUUUAUUUGGGCUGUUUUGGUUUUAAUAGGCUCGGGCAUAAUUUGGAGUUUACAAUGGUAUAUAACAAAAAAAUAAAGCAAAUUGUUGCAAUUUGGUAAGAGAAAAUAAAUAUAAGGCCAAAAAUUGACAGUUCAAUUAGACCUGUCCAUGGGCCGGGCCGGGCCGGGUUUGGGCUGGGCCCAUAAAAAAUUUCAGCCCGUUUACUAAGCCCAGGCCCGGCCCGACCCGAAAUAUGGGCCUGAGAUUUUGCCCAAGCCCGGCCCGGAGAAAAAAUAUGGGGCCCGAGCCCAUCCCGGCCCGUUUUUAAUUAAAAUUAAAAUUAAAAAUUUUUUUAAUAAAAUUAAAACUAAUUGUUAUUAAAAUUAAUUGUUAGUAAAAUUAUCAAAUUAUUAAUUGUUAAUUGUAUUAAUUGUUGUAAUAAAAUCUAACAUUUAAUUAGUAAAUUUAUCAAAUUAUUAAUUGUAUUAAUUGUUGUAAUAAAAUCUAACAUUUGAUUAGUAAAUUUAUCAAAUUAUUAAUUGUAUUAAUUGUUGUAACAAAAUCUAACAUUUGAUUAGUAAAACAAACUUGAUGUUUUAUUAUUAUUAUUUUGUAACACUAGUCAAGCAAAUGAAAGUAAAUAAACUUAAAAUAAAAAACUAUUAUAUUUUAAAAAUAAAAAAUAUAUAUUUAAAAUUUUUCGGGCCGGGCCGGGCCAAAAAAAUAUUGCCCGAGGCCCGGCCCAUUUUUUAAAUGGGCCUAAAUUUUUUCCCAAGCCCAUAUUUCGAGCCUAUAUUUUUACCCAAACCCUCUCAUAUUUUGGGCGGGCCGUCGGGCCGGACCGGGCCGCCCGGCCCAUGGACAGGUCUAAGUUCAAUCUAUUGUUUUUUUAAUAAUUGUUUUUAUUUUUUAAAAUAAAUUUUUAUUUUUAAUUAAAUAUAAUUGAAAUAUCAAUUCAACUAAUUGAACUGAAAAUUCAUAAUACGAAUGAUCCAACAUUGAAGUUAACAAAUAUAAUUAACUUUAUUUGUUGAAUUUGGAUAAUUAUAGAGACUAAAUUUUGUAGCUUAUUUUGAUAAAUAGUUAACAACAUUAUCAAUGCUUAUUUUCUAAAACUACUUCGUUUAUUUUGAAUUUGACCAAAUUACUGAGUAAGGAUCUCCUAAAUAUUAAUUCUUUAAUUUUCGUAGCAUUUGAACAUAAGAUCCAUAUCUUGGUUUAUGCUGGUUGAUUUCUGUGUGUGAUGCCAAACAUAGCUUAUUUGCUAUCACCUUCUAUUGUUUCUGCGUUUCAAUGGAAAAUUAUUUUUCAUCAAAGUGAAUAAUGAUGCUUUCGAAGAAUCACUGUGACAUCAACAUAUGAAAAAAAUGUAGAUAUAAUCUUUCAUUUUAAUUCCAACAUGUCAUCCAUUUGUUUCGUUUAGACAUCGUACACAUAUGAUGUAUUCAUGUUAUUAGGGAUUAUCCCAUCAAACCUUGCUCAGCAAUAUUUUCCAUUUUCUGAAACAAAUUAAAAUGAUUUUUUGAUAAUUCUAUCUCCGACAAGAAGCAUGCAGAGCAAAGCAAAGAGGAAGGAUCAUAGAAAUGUAUGAUAAGAUAAAAAUUUGCCAUUAAAUACAGCAAAACGAUGUAGCAUUACAUUACAUUAUUUAUUCCCUUAAAAUGCACAUAUACUUGACAAAAAGCCCUUCAUCCAUGGCCAGCCAAUCCUUAUGCAUCCAUGCGAAUCAUGCACCUCAGGCCCUCGCCAGCAAGCAUGUACUCAAAUGCCUUGUUAAUCUCAGAGAAGGGAACUGAGUGAGUGAUGAACUUGUCAAGUUCAAGUUCCUGCAAUAUCAAAGAGAUCGCAGUCAGUGUUGCUUUUUAUUGGUACUUGUAUACGAAGAUAAAAUGCUUAAACAGGAAGGUAAACUCACCUUGUUCAUGUAUCUCUCAACGACAGCAGGAAUAUCAGUUCGAGGUUUGUAGUUGCCAAAGAAAGUACCCUUGAGAGUCCUUUCAUUCAGUAGAUUCACUGGAUGAGUUUUGAAUGCAUCGUCUUUGUUGGGAACCCCCACAAGCACUGCAACUCCCCAACCCUGAAAAUUUACGUCAUUUCAGCUAAGGAUGGCAACGUAAAAAGAUACAAUCUAACAUCGAGAAAUUUUGUUUGAAGAUAAUUACAUCGUGGACACAUUCAAAUGCAGAAAUCAUGGCCUGGAUGCUCCCGGUACAUUCAACACUGCGGUCGACUCCUCCACCCGUCAUCUCAGCAAUGACCUGAUUAUUAGAAUCAUUUUUAUAAUAAGGAUCUCAAACAAGUUGAUUAUAUAAUGCAGCUUGUAUGCGUAGUGACCCUAGUAUAGAUGGUCAUGUUCGAAACAGAAUCCAAUACAAUAUCUGAAAUUUCAAGUAGGAAGUAACCUCUUGAACAGGUUUGUUGUGAUCUUUCGGAUUCACAAACUCCGUAACACCGAAGUUCUUGGCUGCAAGAAGUAAUGAGAACAAGCAUGAUCAGUUUUGUGACUUUGCUUAACCAGAAACAUAACCAUUCUUGCAAGUUUUUGUGUAAAAUAACUACGAAACCAAUGCUACCUAGUUCGAAUCUGCUAGGGUUCAAAUCGACACCAAUGAUCCUGGAAGCCCCAGAAACUCUUGCUCCUUCAGCAGCCUAAAUAUCAGAACAGAGAAUUACAGAAAAAUCAAUCUAACGCUUUUUGUGUUGCCAAGGGGAAGAAAACAUAUAACAUAAAUGCGACAAGAAUAACUCACAGCAAGACCGACAGCACCUAGUCCAAAUAUUGCAACGGAUUGACCCUUUUUGGGUUUAGCUACAUUCACAGUGGCACCAAACCCUGCAAUAAAAGUAGUGAAACAAGAACAUCCUCACUGUCAUUAACACCAUUUAUAUCUCCCGAAAAAAGGAAAGACAAAAAUGAAAUCCAAGUCCCGAACCUGUGGACAUUCCGCAGCUUAGAACACAAACUUUAUCAAGCGGAGCCUCCGGAUUGAUCUUGGCAACCUGGCCGACAUGGACAACAGUGUAUUCACUGAAAGUAGAGGUGCCUAGGAAGUGGUAGAUAGGCUUCCCAUUGAUGGAAAACCUGGAUUUUCCAUCAUUAAUCAUUUCACCCCUAUCAGUGUUGAUUCGGAGGAGAUCACACAUGUUACUUUCUUCUGACAAGCAAUGGGGACACUCCUUGCAUUCCCCCGUGAAGAUGGGGAGAACAUGAUCACCUGGCUUUAGAUCAGUCACCCCCUCACCUACACUCUCCACAAUCCUAUAUAUUCAAAAGAAAAGGGUUAAUGUGUAUACAUAUAAUGAUAAUAUUGUAGGAACUGUAAACAUUUAAACAGACAUAUACAUACCCUCCAGCUUCAUGACCUAGUAUGCGAGGAAACAGAGGGUUUUGUCCCUACAAGAAGAGAAAAUUGUUGUCAAUCACAAUGUGAGAGAUAAGUAUCAGAAAAUCAUAUCUAAGAGAAAGAAAAAAACUGAAGCAAAUGCUUAUUGCGUAGUCUUGGAUGAAGGAAGCAAUGGAAGCAAUUUAUCAAAAAGAAUCAUCCUUUUAUGAAGUUCACCAUUGGUGAAAGCCAAUGUGGAGGAUAAAAUAAGAACUUCGGCUAAAAAUAGAUUAGACUCCCAACAUCAAUAUAAUCAAAAUAAUCAGCAAUAUUGCAGAUUCAGGGCUUUGUAAAAACUUUUACUUCUUUAACAGUUAUAAACCAAUCGACAAAAACAAGUUGAAGUAAGAGAGAGAGAGAGAGAGAGAGAGAGAGAGAGAGAGAGAGAGGUGUAAAACCUUAGCAUCCCAGAAGUAGACAUCGGUGUGACAUAAAGAAGUGAAGAGUAUCUUAAUACGGAC